AAACUAACAAGGAUUCCCCUAGUAACGGCGAGUGAACAGGGAAGAGCUCAAAUUUGUAAUCUGGCGUCCCUUGGGCGUCCGAGUUGUAAUCUAUAGAAGCGUUUUCCGUGCUGGACCAUGUCCAAGUCCCUUGGAACAGGGUAUCAAAGAGGGUGACAAUCCCGUGCUUGACAUGACGACCAGUGCUCUGUGAUACGUUCUCUACGAGUCGAGUUGUUUGGGAAUGCAGCUCAAAAUGGGUGGUGAGUUCCAUCUAAAGCUAAAUAUUGGCGAGAGACCGAUAGCGAACAAGUACCGUGAGGGAAAGAUGAAAAGCACUUUGGAAAGAGAGUUAAACAGUACGUGAAAUUGUUGAAAGGGAAACGAUUGAAGUCAGUCGUGUCCGAGGGGUUCAGCCGGUCCCGCCGGUGUAUUCCCCUCGGACGGGUCAACGUCAGUUUGGAUCGGCGGAAAAGGGCAGUUGGAAGGUAGCAGCUCCGGUUGUGUUAUAGCCUUCUGUCGCAUACGCUGGUCCAGACUGAGGAAUGCAGCUCGCCUUCAUGGCUGGGGUUCUCCCACAUUCGAGCUUAGGAUGUUGACAUAAUGGCUUUAAACGAC
rnacentral:rRNA from 1 species